CUCUUCUGUGUAUGUAGAGAGUCACAAAGGUAUUUUGGGUCUAAUUAAAAUCUUUUGCUUUUAGUCUGGCAACACAGGUUUGUAUUGAAGCAUUUCACUGCAAAAGUUAAGAAAUAAGUUUAGUAGUAGUAUCUUAUUAUGAUGAGAUUUUUUUUUUGUAUAAAGAAGACUCUCCUCCAAAAUUGAUUUCCAGUCAAAUACUUUUGUAAUUCUCUGCUUUGUUUUUCUUUCUUUUUUUCCCCCGGUCUUGUUUAUUCAUUUACCUUUCACAUGGACUUCAACCUGACUUGUUGGUUUUCUCUUUUUCCUCCAAAGGUAACCCUGUUUACUGUGGAUGAACAUUUUUGAUUCGAUUUGAUUUAUGUUAGAGUGUAGUGACUUCUGAAUCAAAAUAAAAUAAUCAAAAACAUGUAAUCCAUCGUUCUGGCAUUUAUCAAAUAGAAUGACUUGUAAUCCCAACUGACCCAAAACAAGGAACGUUUAAACUGAUUUAAUGUUUUACAGGACAAUUAAAAAUAUUUUUUAAAGAGUAUGUAAAUCUGGUUACAACAGCAUUCCACCUGCUUUCCAGAAAACCUUUUUGUAUUAAUUUAUUUAUAGGCUAAAUAUCUGGUUGUAAUCGCAUUCAGCCUGCUUUUUUUCUUUUCUUCUCUUUUACACAGUGUACUACAACAGCAUUCAACCUGAUUUCCAAGAAACCUUUUUUUAAGUACUUGCAGCUUUGAUUCUAGAUUAGUGAGGGGCGCUGAUGAGCUUGUUGUUGAUUAGAACAGCCUCAGAAGAAACGUUCUGAAGCAGAGAAGAAGAAGAAGAAAGAUGCCGAUGGGCCACGUCGGUUAAGGUAAGUAGGAAGUAGGGUUAGAGGUAAAACCUCGUGAAAAUCUGGUAUUCUUUAAAGACAGAGGGAGAUUUGAAAGAUGAAGAGAUGGAAUUGCCCCAUCCAGGAGGAGAGUGAAGCCGGUGGCCUGAUGCCAGCCAUCAGCCAGGCUAAAACAGAUGCUACAACAGAUGCUAAAACACGCUGACCCGCUGGGGGCAGAGAGUCCUGCAGCAUGUGAUUGAGCUGUACUACACCCGGCGGCUGCUGUAACUGACCCGACCUUCUCGCAGGACGGUAUGUUUUACCCUCACCGUUAACGGUCACACGUUACGUGUGAGAUCAGUGGAAAGGAAAGGUGACCCGCGGCAUGGCUGAAUUCUGCUCCAGCUGGGCUCUGUGCUGGACACAGUCAGACACCAUGCAACAGCCUCGUCUCAUUUCUGCCAAAAACGAAAUCGCCUGGGCAACCGCUUCCCUCAGCUUUGUCUGGCUACACAGGAAUGAGUACAGUGAUGUACUUGACAUUCACAAUAAAUUUCUAGAAAUUAAUUUUCCUGCUGUAUUUUCCAGCAGGGCGCCCAGCUUCCAAACGGGAAGAGACUCGACACUUUCAUCUGUGGUAACUACACUUCACUGAAAUGCUUUUUCCCUCUCUCUUUUUUUUUUUUUUGGCAGUCACAAAGUAAUUGUCUGUGGCAUUAUUAUUAUUAUUAUUAUUACAACAUUUAAAAACUGCGUGUUACAUCUUGUUUCAAGUAACACAAUCACUUUUCACACCUGGACACGGCCAGACCGCACAUGAAGCUAAAAACAGACACAGCAGGGCAGGGAUGAGGAAUACCUUGUGCCAGAAACAAGCCCUCUGUGACCUGUGGUGUUUUCUGUGCCCCUCCCCCUCACUCCUUCAUAAUAAACCUGUCACUGUGCUGAAACCAAC